UACCUGAAAUUUAAGGGGUGAAAGAAAUUUAGCUUGCAGGGUGAGACACUGUUGGACUGAAUAUCUUGUUUACGUGUUUGGAAUCUCUGAAGAGAACAACUCUCUUCCAAGCAGAGUGCUGAUGCUUACAGCCUCUAAAACAUUAGCAGACUGAGACAGCAAGUAUUUCAGAAAAAGCCAAGACAAGUUAUUCUUUAAAGGUGACACAAGAAAUUAUAUAGAUGGCUACAGGUUGCUUAGAGACAACUAGCAUAUCAUGUUAAUGUGAUUAUUGUAUGGAAUAAUUGCAUUUUCUGUCAGUAGCUCUGGUGACAUGGUCUUCAUCAGUGAGAUAUUUCCCACUACCAAAAAGCUGAAAGCUCGUCAGCCCAAACUUCUGUGUUAAAUUGUAAAAUCAGUUACACUGUAUUAAUCAACUUUUUAUUUUUCUCUUCUUUCUCUCUGAUCAUAGCAUUAUAUGGUUCUGCAGUCUGGGUUAGAGUGUGAGAGACUGCGAGGAUUGCUGGCUGGAAUCUCUGUGUGUGUGAGGGCCGGGCAGGCCGGGCCUUGCCCUGCUGAGGCGAGGCCCUGCCCGCACGGCCCAGCCCCGGGCCCGUGUCCCAGCCCCGCCGCGGCCGCCAGGCCCUGGCACGCCGGAGGCCGCGCUCCACACCCGGCCCUGCGGCCCCAGCCGGGCCUGGCAGUGGCCGAGUGACCGCGAGUCCCAGCCGGGGGAAGGGCCCAGCAGGCCCAAAGGGUAUUUAAACCAAAGCCUGCGGCAAGCACGCGUCCUGAGCCUACCUCCUCUUGGAAAUUCUGUCAGCUGAACACCACUGGAACCAGGACUGCUAGCUAUAUUUUGUUCUUGCCUACAUCUUUUCUGUCCUCACUUUAUUCUUUUUCUAAUUCUCCCUUGUCCGAUUUUUUGAGUAAUUUAAAAUCAUAUGGACUUAGAAUUUGUUAAGUUGAAUGGGCUAAGUUAAUGCUUUGAGAAGUGUUUUGUUGAGUUGAAGUGUUCAUUGAAUGUCACUCUACACUUUUACCUAUGUUCUUCAAUUUCCAAAGUUGCCUGCAAAGGUUUGUUGUGUAAUUUUGACCUCUUGAGAAUAUCUUGUCAGUCUUUCUCCUGAGCAUCUCACCAAGAGUAUCUGGACAACUGUAAGCCCUUUUAAAAGUCUCAUUGAGCAAGUUUUUUGGGGCCUUGUAACUGCCUGCCCACGUGAAGUGAAAAGAACAGUUUUAAUUAUUUUUAUUUUAGAUCUCUCUAUGCAAAUAUAUUAUAAGAUGUGGAGGAAAGAAAAAGGGAAAAGUACACAUGAUGACACGAAGUUACACAGUAGAGGAUAAGGUGAACUGUAAUGCAGAAAUGAAGAAGAGGAAACAAUGAGCAAGCAAAUGUUAGAGAUUUUCUUGAAGAGAAUUUACGACUCAAACUACAGUGUUUCAAUUAAAAGUUAGAAUAUACAGUACAAAUA